CAUGGUUGUUCCAGACCAAUUGGAAUGAUUCAGUUACUUGGAGUAUCUUGGUUGCCAGGGCUAGCUGCUUACUGGUGAAUGGAAAAAAGAGCUUUAUGUCCUUGGUUCAUCAGGAGGAAAAAGAUUUGUUCACAAUGAACCAGCAGUUUUGUGCAAGUUUCAAGCAAUGUUUGAUGUAGACCGAGAAAAACAGAAAUGGACUCAUGAGGAUGUAAGAAUGCUCUUUAACAAGAAGUAUA